GGUUAAGUGAAUAAGGGCGCACGGUGGAUGCCUUGGCACUAGGAGCCGAUGAAGGACGGGACUAACACCGAUAUGCUUUGGGGAGCUGUACGUAAGCUAUGAUCCAGAGAUUUCCGAAUGGGGGAACCCAGCAUCUUUAAUAGGAUGUUACGAUUGUGUGAAUACAUAGCACAUUCGAGGUAGACGCAGAGAAC
rnacentral:rRNA from 1 species